AUUGAACGCUGGCGGAAUGCUUUACACAUGCAAGUCGAACGGCAGCACGGGGGCAACCCUGGUGGCGAGUGGCGAACGGGUGAGUAAUACAUCGGAACGUGCCCAGUCGUGGGGGAUAACGCAGCGAAAGCUGUGCUAAUACCGCAUACGAUCUACGGAUGAAAGCGGGGGAUCGCAAGACCUUGCGCGAUUGGAGCGGCCGAUGGCAGAUUAGGUAGUUGGUGAGGUAAAGGCUCACCAAGCCGACGAUCUGUAGCUGGUCUGAGAGGACGACCAGCCACACUGGGACUGAGACACGGCCCAGACUCCUACGGGAGGCAGCAGUGGGGAAUUUUGGACAAUGGGCGCAAGCCUGAUCCAGCCAUUCCGCGUGCAGGAUGAAGGCCCUCGGGUUGUAAACUGCUUUUGUACGGAACGAAAAGCCUUCUUCUAAUACAGGAGGGUCAUGACGGUACCGUAAGAAUAAGCACCGGCUAACUACGUGCCAGCCGCCGCAGUAA
rnacentral:rRNA from 1 species